CAGCUAAUCGUCCAUUUCAAUUGUGUUGUUUGAAAUCAAUGAAAUGGACGAUUGGCUGUG
rnacentral:pre_miRNA from 1 species